rnacentral:miRNA from 1 species
AGGUGCAUGUGCAGGUGCAGGUGUACGUGUAGGCACAGUAUGUAUACACACACACACACACACACACU